GACGAACGCUGGCGGCGUGCUUAACACAUGCAAGUCGAACGGAAAGGCCCCUUUGGGGGUACUCGAGUGGCGCACGGGUGAGUAACACGUGAGUAACCUGCCCUUGACUUCGGGAUAACUCCAGGAAACUGGGGCUAAUACCGGAUAGGAAUCCUUGCUGCAUGGUGGGGGUUGGAAAGCUUCGGCGGUUUUGGAUGGACUCGCGGCUUAUCAGCUUGUUGGUGGGGUAGUGGCUUACCAAGGCUUUGACGGGUAGCCGGCCUGAGAGGGCGACCGGCCACAUUGGGACUGAGAUACGGCCCAGACUCCUACGGGAGGCAGCAGUGGGGAAUAUUGCACAAUGGGCGGAAGCCUGAUGCAGCAACGCCGCGUGCGGGAUGACGGCCUUCGGGUUGUAAACCGCUUUCAGCAGGGGCGAAGCUUGUGGUGACGGUACCUGCAGAAGAAGCACCGGCUAACUACGUG
rnacentral:rRNA from 1 species